rnacentral:rRNA from 1 species
UACGUAAGGGUGCACGUGUUCGUGAAUCACUGGGCGUAAAGCGCGCGUAGGCGGCGUAGCAAGUCAGAGGUGAAAGCCUGGAGCUCAACUCCAGAAUUGCCUUUGAAACUGCUAUGCUAGAGUGUCGGAGGGGAUAGCGGAAUUGCUAAUGUAGAGGUGAAAUUCGUAGAUAUUAGCAGGAACACCGGUGGCGAAGGCGGCUAUCUGGACGACAACUGACGCUGAGGCGCGAAAGCGUGGGGAUCAAAACAGG